rnacentral:rRNA from 1 species
UACGAAGGGGGCGAGCGUUGUUCGGAAUCACUGGGCGUAAAGCGUGCGUAGGCGGUUAUAAAAGUUAGAAGUGAAAGCCCAGGGCUCAACCUUGGAAUUGCUUUUAAAACUGGAUAACUCGAAUCUCGGAGAGGAUAGCGGAAUUGUCAGUGUAGCAGUGAAAUGCGUAGAUAUUGACAGGAACACCAGUGGCGUAAGCGGCUAUCUGGACGAGUAUUGACGCUGAGGCACGAAAGCGUGGGGAUCAAACAGG